rnacentral:RNase_P_RNA from 1 species
CUGAGAAGACAAGCAAUCGCUUUCACUUCAGUGGAAGAGGAAAGUCUGGACUUCGCAGGAGAGGAUGCCAGUGAAAGACUGGGGGGCGCAAGCCUACGGAAAGUGCCACAGAAAAUAUUCCGCUAAAGCUUCGGCUUUAGACAGGUUGAAAUGCCAGCUUUAGGAGCAUGGCCUUACUUAGAGCAAUCUAAGGAGUGGUAAACCCCAUUCGAAGCAAGACGGAAAUGGAGCGAUACAGUUCUCCGCUGUGCUUCUCAAAAGUCGCUUGAGGGUUUUGGCGACAAGACCCCUAGAGGAAUGAUUGCUCGUCUGCUUCGGCAGAUUGACAGAAUCCGGCUUAUCGUCUUCUCAGAUUU